GAUGAACGCUAGCUACAGGCUUAACACAUGCAAGUCGAGGGGUAACGAGAGGAAAGCUUGCUUUCCUUGUCGACGACCGGCGCACGGGUGAGUAACGCGUAUCCAACCUGCCCCCAACUAAGGAAUAACCUUGCGAAAGUAAGACUAAUACCUUAUAAUUUCCUCAGAUGUCAUCUGACGAGGAAUAAAGAUUUAUCGGUUGUGGAUGGGGAUGCGUCUGAUUAGCUUGUUGGCGGGGUAACGGCCCACCAAGGCAACGAUCAGUAGGGGUUCUGAGAGGAAGGUCCCCCACGAUGGAACUGAGACACGGUCCAAACUCCUACGGGAGGCGGCAGUGAGGAAUAUUGGUCAAUGGGCGGAAGCCUGAACCAGCAUAGUAGCGUGCAGGAUGGCGGCCCUAUGGGUUGUAAACUGCUUUUAUACAGGAAUAAAGUUAGCCACGUGUGGUUAUUUGUAGGUACUGUAUGAAUAAGGACCGGCUAAUUCCGUGCCAGCCGCCGCAGUAA
rnacentral:rRNA from 1 species